rnacentral:rRNA from 1 species
AGUAGUCCACGCCGUAAACGAUGAGUACUAAGUGUUGGGAGUCAAAUCUCAGUGCUGCAGUUAACGCAUUAAGUACUCCGCCUGAGUAGUACGUUCGCAAGAAUGAAACUCAAAGGAAUUGACGGGGGCCCGCACAAGCGGUGGAGCAUGUGGUUUAAUUCGAAGCAACGCGAAGAACCUUACCAGGUCUUGACAUCGAUCUAAAGGGGAUAGAGAUAUCCAGAUAGCUAUAGAGAAGACAGGUGGUGCAUGGUUGUCGUCAGCUCGUGUCGUGAGAUGUUGGGUUAAGUCCCGCAACGAGCGCAACCCUUGUCGCUAGUUACCAUCAUUAAGUUGGGGACUCUAGCGAGACAGCCGGUGACAAGCCGGAGGAAGGCGGGGAUGACGUCAAAUCAUCAUGCCCCUUAUGACCUGGGCUACACACGUGCUACAAUGGACAGAGCAGAGGGAAGCGAAGCCGCGAGGUGGAGCGAAACCCAUAAAACUGUUCUCAGUUCGGACUGCAGUCUGCAACUCGACUGCACGAAGUUGGAAUCGCUAGUAAUCGCGAAUCAGCAUGUCGCGGUGAAUACGUUCUCGGGCCUUGCACACACCGCCCGUC